CCGAUAUAGCUCAGUUGGUAGAGCAACUCAUUCGUAAUGAGUAGGUCGCGAGUUCGAGUCUCACUAUCGG
rnacentral:tRNA from 1 species